AAUUAAUGAACUUGUUAAAGUAUUUGUUUUGAAAACUUAAAAAAGAAUUAUAAUAUUCUAUUAAUUU
rnacentral:tRNA from 1 species